CUCUCUCUGGCCAUCCCCUUGGUAUCAAUCUGCACAUUGCCUGAUAGUCAGCAGCAGCUAGUUACAGAUAGAUGGAUAAGAUGCCGCGGUGCCAAUUAGAAGUAGGCCAAAACCCCGCCACCAAUACAUUUUCAUCCGCGACAUCGUUUUCAAAGUAGCCCAAUUUGGCAAAAGAAGCGGGGACAUGGUUACAAUCUGCUAGCUAGCGUUAGCUCAUUUUAAGAUGUGGAGGAAGAGGCAGUCCUUUACUAAAUAACCAGACAAAAAGCUACAGACCUAGUUUGCUAGCUAUUCCCACAGCAUGUCUACAUCGUUAUUUGUUACUGUACACCCCAGUGGUCUACAUACACCAGCUCAGCAUGGCCACAGUGUACUAACUAGCUAACGUUAAACCAUCUUAACGUUAGCCACAUCGCCCCGGGAGUAAGUAGCCUAGUACAUCAGACUGUGAUAGGCAACUAGCUUACCCUUUCGCCCAAAACGUUUGUCUUUGCGCAAGAUUAUGUAUUUCAACGACGUUGUCUCUUCUUGUUUUGCUAUUUCUUUAAUUAUUUGGUCUUCACUAUCAAACUCGCUUAUUUGCAAUGUUGCUGCCAUUUUGAAAAUGACGGGGCUAUCACUGCCUCAUCUGAUUGGUUGGAUGAUGGUGCUUCCUACUUUGCAACUACUUGGCCGAAUAAAGCAAGUCAGCGUGUUCUUUUGAUUUGAUAACACCAAAAAUGAUAAAUCCCCAAAUAAUGAGUUAUCAUUUGACACAUGGACAGUGAAAAUAAGACAACCAUUCCAGUUGAGUCUUUUGUUUUUGUAUAGGCUUCUCCUGCACAGCAGGUGGUGCUAUGCCUAUUGUUGACAGUGGACAUGCAGCAGGCAAGAAAUUCCCGAAGAAGAUUGGUUGGGUAACAAUAUAAGGAGUGUAAACAAACACCACCCAGUGUGGACUUUCAAGAUCAUCUAUCGACUAAACUAGCCAGUUAUCUCGAUACACUGUAGCUGGUGUAGUUAAAAAAUAAUGGAAGAUAGAAGCCUUCCUCGUAUUGUGGUCAUUGCACUGUCUGUGCUGAUUUACAUUUCUGCUUUAGCAAUUAAUGCCAUGGCAGGCGCUGGAAAAGGACCAUUCCAUUCGAGUACAGGGAACAUUUCCAAGAAGUAUGAAACCGACAUAACUCCGGCCGGAUGGACCUUUUCUAUCUGGGGGCUCAUCUACACCUGGUUGUCUCUCAUGCUCAUCUAUGUCAUCUCCUUCCUCUACAGAAGGAGCUGGACCCUCUUUGUGCUGCCGUACGGUUUCUACGUGUCCUGGAUAGUCAACAUGGCCUUCAACAUGACCUGGCUUGUCCUAUGGGUUCAAGAGCAGAUGACUGCUGCGUUGAUUGUACUGUGGAUCAUUGCUGUCACCAACUACUCUAUGAUCUUUUUCUCCUGCUAUGGGCUGAGUGUCUACGGAGCCUGGCUCAGCCAGAACCAACCUAGUGAUCUUUGGUGCAUCCGGGUGCUGGUGCAGAAUGGCAUUGCCCUGUAUACCACAUGGACAACCAUUGCCACUCUGAUCAACUUCACCCUGGUGUUGGACCUCUCUGGAGUGGCAAAUAGCACUGCAGCCACCGUGUCUCUUUGUAUCCUACUGGUGGAGGUGAUCGGAUGGUUUGGUAUUGAGAACUUCCUGCUGGAUCAGCAUGUGAGGUACAUCCUGACUAUUUACCCUGUGGUGAUCAUUGCUCUGGUUGGGAAUGUGUUCAAGCACUAUGAUCCUGCAGCACCAAGCGCAAACGCUAUCUUCAUGGUUUGUCUCUUGGUGGUUUCCUGUGUGCUCCUGGUGGUGCGAGUCGCCUUGGUGUUCAGGAGAAAUCGGAACCAGCCCCUGUACGCUGGCAUGAGCCUGGAGGCUCUGAUCUCGCCCAGCAGCCUGAACAAGAAUCAGAAUAAGAUAUUCAUGUAGAAGACUGGUACACACCACAAUACCAUCUUUUCACGAAGUGUCAAACCGUAAUAAUCUAUAACAUAACACAUUGCCUAUAUUAAACCAUACACAUUCAUUAUUCAGUUUGGACAAGAAACAGAUGAAGAUAUUCAUGUAGAAGACUGGUAGUCUUCUACAUAGUACGAUCUGUAAACGAUACGAAGUGUCAAAGCCUAUGCUUCCAUAUAAUAUAAUCCAUAACAUAUAAUCCUGUAUUACGCACACUGUAUUAAAAAACCUGUAUUCAUCCAAUCAUAACAUUCCACUACACUGUAAUGCAUAACACUUUCUAUGUUUAUAAUACAUGUAAUAAGAGAUAUUUGUACACUAAUCAAUGCACUGAAUAAUCAUACAAUUCCAGUGUAAGUAACACUUUUUUUUUUUACGUGAUUCUUACUAUUUUGUAUUGAUCUGAUACAUAAAAACAUUUUGCCUAUCC
ensembl:lncRNA